AUCAACCACGCAUUUGGAGUGCAGUUAGCCCUGUGAGUCCUCUGUCCAACCUUUUCUUGUAGUGGCAUUUUGGUAUGCAUUUUUCAAUUGUUAUAUAGCACAGCUGGUCAAGUGAGCAGCAAUAGAACCCGCCUCGAGUCUCAACGCAACCAUCACGUCUAAUAUAUGUAAAGCUAAUACCGUUUUUAACUCCCAUCUUUCUUCCAAUCUCGUCUGUGGUUUGACCUACAGAUGUAAUUAAGGAGUCAUAUGUUU
rnacentral:lncRNA from 1 species